AAAGUCUCUUGCCUUGGUGGAUAAUGCUGAGUUCAAAUGAUACCAUAGAGCUUGCUUUGUUUCCUCAGGGCCCUCAAAAGAAGGAAUCAUUCCUUCAAUAACAGUCAACUUCACUAGAACCAUGAAUCAAGUGAGGCCAAUUUCUCUUUCGGAAGUCAUUUCCCCAUCAUGAUCAUCCAAAACUACUAAUGAAUGAAUCAAAUCUUACUAAGAAACUAAUACAAUCCAAAAAAUUAAAUCACAAGUGGCACUGAUACAGGUGGAGAGUGGGACGUAAGAAGUGAGAAGACUAUUCAUCCCAACAUCACUUACCAACCUUAAUUUGUAGCUUGCUCAUAUCGACAUUAACCCUUUCAACACCUGAUUCGUUCUUCACCUCUGUUUGCUUAAGAUUUUUAAAGUUGAGCCAUGGGUGUUGCAAGCACUGCUCAGCAGUUGGUCGUUUUUCUGGCUCAAAAUCAAGAAGAGGACUGAGAAAUUCCGUGAACUCAUGAGCAUCACUUUCAGAAAAUCUAUAUUUGUUAACUAGUAAUUUAUUUAGACAACCAUAUUUCAGUCUACGGAUCCUCUUCAAAUCUCCGUGCCUGUCAAAG
rnacentral:misc_RNA from 1 species